rnacentral:rRNA from 1 species
CCUACGGGAGGCAGCAGUGGGGAACAUCGCACAAUGGGCGCAGGCCUGAUGCAGCCAUGCCGCGUGUAUGAAGAAGGCCUUCGGGUUGUAAAGUACUUUCAGCGGGGAGGAUGGCGAUAAGGUUAAUAACCUUGUCGAUUGACGUUACCCGCAGAAGAAGCACCGGCUAACUCCGUGCCAGCAGCCGCGGUAAUACGGAGGGUGCAAGCGUUAAUCGGAAUUACUGGGCGUAAAGUGCACGCAGGCGGUCUGUCAAGUCGGAUGUGAAAUCCCCGGGCUCAACCUGGGAACUGCAUACGAAACUGGCAGGCUAGAGCCUUGUAGAGGGGGGUAGAAUUCCAGGUGUAGCGGUGAAAUGCGUAGAGAUCUGGAGGAAUACCGGUGGCGAAGGCGGCCCCCUGGACAAAGACUGACGCUCAGGUGCGAAAGCGUGGGGAGCAAACAGGAUUAGAUACCCUAGUAGUC